UACAGAGGUCUCAAGCGUUGUUCGGAUUCAUUGGGCGUAAAGGGUGCGUAGGUGGCGGGGUAAGUCAGGUGUGAAAUCUCGGGGCUCAACCCCGAAACUGCACUUGAUACUGCCUUGCUUGAGUACUGGAGAGGAGAUUGGAAUUUACGGUGUAGCAGUGAAAUGCGUAGAUAUCGUAAGGAAGACCAGUGGCGAAGGCGGCAUCCUGGACCGACAUUGACGCUGAGGAGCGAAAGCCAGGGGAGCAAACGGG
rnacentral:rRNA from 1 species